rnacentral:lncRNA from 1 species
AUGUUACGUAUGCUGACGUUAGAAUCACACAGGACCCAGAACACAGGAGAAGGAAGUACACACACAGAGACAGAGACAGAGACAGAGACACACACACCCACACACACACACAGUACAGGGUCUUUAUGUCUUCAACCUGUUGUCUCGUCUCCUGCAGAGAAGUCUCCAGGAGCUGAUCCAGUCUACUCUGCAGUGAAGACCUCCAACACCACAUUUCCAGGUGGAUCUGGUCCAGGUGAUGUGACCUAUGCUGACAUCAACCACACAGAGAAGAGACAACACAACAGGAGGAGAGAGAAAGUCGUUCCAGACCCGGUCUACUCAGCAGUGAAGACAGACAGAGAUACAGGUCAGAAGGUCGUUCCAGACCCUGUCUACUCAGCAGUGAAGACAGACAGAGAUACAGUCAGUAGGUUGUUCCAGACCCUGUCUACUCAGCAUGUGAGACAGACAGAGUAACGGUCAGAAGGUUGUUUUCAAGACCCUGUCUACUCAGCAGUGAAGACAGACCAGAGAUACAGGUCAGAGGUUGUUACAGACCCUGUCUACUCAGCAGUGAGACAGACCAGACAGAGUACAGAGUCAGUAGUAGGUGUUCCAGACCCUGUCUACUCAGCAGUGAAGACAGACAGACAGAGAUAGAGGUCAAAAGGUUGUUCCAAGCCCUGUCUACUCGCAGUGAGACAGACCAGACGAGAACAGGUCAAAGGUCGUUCCAGACCCUGUCUACUCAGCAGUGAAGACAGAGAGAGAUACAGGUCAAAAGGUCGUUCCAGACCCUGUCUACUCAGCAUGAAGCCAGGACCGGACAGACACGAGAUACAGGUCAGAAGGUCGUUACAGACCCUGUCUAUCUCACGUGUGAAGGACAGACAGCAGGCACAGACAGACAGAGCAGGACAGACAGACAGACAGACCGACAGACAGACACGACCGACAGACAGACAGACAGACAGACAGACAGACAGACAGAAGACAGACAGACAGACGGACAGACAGACAGACACAGACAGACAGACAGACAGACAGACAGACAGCUACUUAGAUUGGCUUUACAGCACGUUUGACAGAUCUAUAACAUAAUUCUAUGUGGAUUAGUGGGUUACUCAAAAGGGUUAGAUAUUGCCAUUUUAACAGAUGUAAUCUGUGUGAUACUUUAGUUAGCUGUAUCGGAUCCGGGACUGGUACAGACUCGUAUCAGAUCACUGUAUAUACCCUAUGUACAGACGGAUGUCCCGAUCACUGUAUCACUAACCCUAAUGUACAACUGAGGUUAGGUCCAGAUCACUGCAUCACUAACCCUAAUGUACAGACUGAGGUAGGUCAUCAAGAUCAUGUAUCACUAACCCUAAUGUACAGACUGAGGUAGGUCCAGAUCACUGUAUCACUAACCCUAAUGUACAGACUGAGGUAGGUCCAGAUCACUGUAUCACUAACCCUAAUGUACAGAUGAGUGUCCACACUGAUCACUACCCCUUAAUGCUAGACUAGGUA